rnacentral:rRNA from 1 species
CGCGGCCUAUCAGCUUGUUGGUGGGGUAAUGGCCUACCAAGGCGACGACGGGUAGCCGGCCUGAGAGGGCGACCGGCCACACUGGGACUGAGACACGGCCCAGACUCCUACGGGAGGCAGCAGUGGGGAAUAUUGCACAAUGGGCGAAAGCCUGAUGCAGCGACGCCGCGUGAGGGAUGACGGCCUUCGGGUUGUAAACCUCUUUCAGCAGGGACGAAGCGUAAGUGACGGUACCUGCAGAAGAAGCGCCGGCCGACUACGUGCCAGCAGCCGCGGUAAGACGUAGGGCGCGAGCGUUGUCCGGAUUUAUUGGGCGUAAAGAGCUCGUAGGCGGCUUGUCGCGUCGACUGUGAAAACCCGCAGCUCAACUGCGGGCCUGCAGUCGAUACGGGCAGGCUAGAGUUCGGUAGGGGAGACUGGAAUUCCUGGUGUAGCGGUGGAAUGCGCAGAUAUCAGGAGGAACACCGGUGGCGAAGGCGGGUCUCUGGGCCGAUACUGACGCUGAGGAGCGAAAGCGUGGGGAGCGAACAGGAUUAGAUACCCUGGUAGUCCACGCUGUAAACGUUGGGCGCUAGGUGUGGGGGACCUCUCCGGUUCUCUGUGCCGCAGCUAACGCAUUAAGCGCCCCGCCUGGGGAGUACGG